UUUGACCCCUAGCCUGGGAAUCUUCAUGUGCCUCGGGCGCAGCCCUAAAAAGAAAACAACAACAACAAAGAUACAAAGAUAUGGAAGUUAAAAAUCCAAAAUGUCAAUGAUAAAGUUGAAAAAAUAUUUCCCGGAAAGAACAGAGAGAUCAGGAGCUCCAACAGCUAAAUCCUAGAGCUUUCUGAGAGAGGGAACAGAGCCUACACUCGGGGGUGGCAGGGAGAGAGAUACCAAAUAAAGGUAGUAUUUUUUUAUCAAGACAGCUUCCCAAAGAUGAGGGAUGUGAGUUUCCAGAAGAGAAUCGCCAAGUAUCCAGGACAGUGGAUGAAGGAGACCUACCCCAGGUGAAUGGACAAACCAUAGUCCAGGCACACAGUGGACAAUUACUCAGCCAUCAGAAGGAACACACUACCGCUACAUACAGUGGGUGAACCUCAGAUGCACUGUCCUCUCUCUAUCUCUCUCGGAGUUCCUGUCGUGGCUCAGUGGAAACGAAACUGACGAGCGUUCAUGCAGAUGGGGCUUCGAUCCCUGCCCUCGAUCAGUGGGUUAAGGAUCCGGCGUUGCGAAUUUUUGGAAUACCCUUGGGAACACUGGAGGAGAGUCCCUAGCCUCCUCAAAGAUACCCUGUCUGCCUAGAAUCCCACCUUCGGGGAGGAACUGCACCUAAACUGACGCCCUUCUAAAGUCAAGGUCUCCAGGGUGACGCAGACCUCAGCGUGGCCAGGUGAGCCUCUGUUUCCCAAGGGAGCUCCCCAUUCUCCAGGGACUAACUCAGAAUCUCUCUCUAAACCCUGCCUCUGCCUUCCUCGCUUUCAGCAGGGAGCACAGGCACCAUCAGACCGGAGUUUCCUGGCCUUCCUGCCCCAGCGCCCACUCUCCGCUUCUCACAGGUCUCCUCUUUUCCUAGCCCCUUGCUGGGCUCCAUUCCUCUGUUCUUCUCCCAACCUGGGUGUUGGGGGCCCCUCUUUCGCUUGUGUAUUCAGCCUUUCUUUCUCCUCUGGCUCCUCCCCCUCGGUAUUUAAACAUAUCACCCACAUCUUCUAUUACCCCCCCCCCAGGAGACCUCUUAUUCUUUUUUUUUUUUUUU